rnacentral:sRNA from 1 species
ACCGCCACGGACGGCGGUGGUUUAGAACAACAGCGAUGUUUUUUGCUAAGCAAAAAACUCGUCGUUAAACAGUUGUACACGGAUGUACAACUGUUUAACAGGC